AGCUCCAAUAGCGUAUAUUAAAGUUGUUGCAGUUAAAAAGCUCGUAGUCUGAACCUUGGUCACAUUGAGCGUCCACGGCUUUUUUGGCUGUGAGCAUGCGAUAUGUUUGGCCAUGUACUUCGGCAGAACAUUUGUGCUUUUAAUUAAGUGCACUUGGGAUUCCGAUAGUUUACUUUGAGAAAAAUAGAGUGUUCAAAGCAGGCGAUUGCCUUUUGAAUACAUUAGCAUGGGAUAAUGAAAUAGGACAUUGGUUCUAUUUUGAUGGUUUACGGACCGAUGUAAUGAUUAAUAGGGACAGUUGGGGACAUUCAUAUUCCAUGGCUAGAGGUGAAAUUCUUGGAUUCAUGGAAGAUGAACUACUGCGAAAGCAUUUGUCAAAGAUGUUUUCAUUGAUCAAGAA
rnacentral:rRNA from 1 species